UUCAGCUUAUACUUCCCACACUGCU
rnacentral:misc_RNA from 1 species